rnacentral:misc_RNA from 1 species
AAUGAAGAGCAAGAAACAAAGCCUUUUUAAACUGUUGCUGAUCAAUCUUUCAGAGCUUGUUCAGACUAUCUCUUGAAUCCUAUGUGCAGCAUGUCUGAGAUAGAAAGCCAAUAGUACCGCCCUUGUGGCAGUUUGAGCUGGGAAUGGGUGUACCACUAUAGUGAUACAAUUGGAGGUUCCAAGAAUGUAAUUUCAAGCCACAAGACUGAUAUUGGAAAGGUCAUAAAUGUUGCACCUCAAAAUUUGCAAAUCUUGAGAGAGGGACUGACAGUGGCGAGAUCUAGCUCCUCAAAUUGGCGACAUGUGGACAUUUCCCAUCCCCCAAUUCCUGUCUACCUUAAAAUUAUUUCCUUGAACUGUUAUACUUUCAAGAGACGAGCAGGUGAGUCUGAGAAACAUUUCUUCAACAUCACCUUGUGGGAUGCAAUUGGCUAUGUCCAAAUCUUUGAGCGUGAGCUGGUCAUCAACAGAUUGUUAAUCCCAUGUACUUUUUUAAAUUUCAGAGUUGUAAGGAAGAAGCUGCCUUUACUGAACUCAGGGUAAAAACCCUUUAAGCAGCCAGUUGAGUUUGCCACCCG